rnacentral:rRNA from 1 species
UUGGCGGACGGGGUGAGUAACGCGUGAGGAACCUGCCUCAGAGUGGGGGGAGUAACACACCGAAAGGUGUGCUAAUACCGCAUAACAUAUGGAGGGGCAUCCCUUUCAUAUCAAAGAUUUAUUGCUCUGAGAUGGCCUCGCGUCCAAUUAGCUAGUUGGCGGGGUAACGGCCCACCAAGGCGACGAUUGGUAGCCGGACUGAGAGGUUGAACGGCCACAUUGGGACUGAGACACGGCCCAGACUCCUACGGAAGGCAGCAG